AUCAGCUGACCCCAGCCAGAAACGAGGCAAGAAUCCCCAGCGGUCGGGCACUGGGAGGCGAUGCUGAUGUUCUGGAUGGCAUCCGACCUGGGCACUGACUCUUUCAACUUGAUGAGCAUGAGGUCGUUGGCGAUAAAAGACACAUCCUGCGUGGAGAAGAAUGACCGUAGGGUGAGAAGGGAGCAGACACCGACACGAAGGCGGAAGGUGACAGCAGCCCAGGUGGGCGAUGCUGUGGUCCAGGGAGAAGAGGAAUGAAUGGGCGCAGGGCUCAUCCCGGAGUUCAGAAGGCCAGAAGUCCAAAGGCAGUCUCACUGGACUGGUUCCUUCUGGAGGCUCUAAGGGUGACUCCAUUUCCUUGUCUUUUCAGCUUCUGGAGGCACCUGCAUUCCUUAGCCCGUCUUGCCUCUUGCCUCUCUCUUGUAAGAACCUUUGUGGUUUCAUUGUGCCCAGCAGCAUAACCCGGGGUAACCGCCCCAUCUCGAGAUCUUUAAUCAGACCCGCAAAGUCCCCAAGUAAGAUCGCAUAUUCAUAGGACACCCUUGUGAUGGGGAUUAUUUUGUCUGCCGCAAAAUCACAUGAUGCGUUAAUGUUUCACCUGUUCAUGGUGUCUGUCUCCUCCACUGGAACACAAGCUCUUCCAUGAGGAUAAAACAUCCCUGCCAAGGUCACCAUUGUAUCCCCAGGGCCAAGAACAAUGCCUGGCGCGUGGUAGGUUGUUAGUAAAGAUUCGCUGAGUGAACAAAUGCCCUCGAGGAGGGAAGAAUUAACGCCCUUACCAACAAAUUGAUUUACAGUCACAGAAACAAUUUCCCAGCUGAUUGCACACUGAUGAAGAGACAGCCUCUCAAGGUUCAAAUCUCAGGUCUGCCAUUCACUAGGUCACUGACCGUGAGCAAGUUACCAAGCCUCUCUGUGCCUCUGUUUCUCAUCUGUGAAAUGGGAAUAAAUAUAUUACUUGUCUCAUGGAAUAUUGAGAAUAUUCACUUAGUUAAUACCUGUGAAGCAGUUGGUGCGGAGUCUGGUGCACAUGGGAAGUACUUUGUAAGAAUUCACUUUUGUUAUUAAUAUUAAUAUUACUUUGCAAACACCUGAAACAGUGUUUCACGAGAUGUGAUGCUAACCUAACGUGAGACUCAGAUUUCAAUUCUUUUGACUCAAUAGCCAGAAGUGGGAUUCCUGAUCAUAUAGUAAUUCUACUUUUAAUUUUUUGAGAAACCCCCACACUGUUUUCCACAGUGGUAGCACCAUUUUGUACACCCGCCAACAGUGAACAAGGAUUCCAAUAUCUCCAUAGUCUCACCAAUGCUCCUUACUUAUCUCUGUUGUCGUUGUUGGGUUUUUUGCUGUUGUGGGUUUAAAAUUUUUUUUUUAAUUUUUAUUAAAUUUUUUUUAACAUUUAUUUAUUUUUUGAGAGACAGAGAGAGACAGAGCAUGAACAGGGGAGGGGCAGAGAGAGAAGGAGACACAGAAUCCAAAACAGGCUCCAGGCUCUGAGCUGUCGGCACAGAGCCCGACGCGGGGCUCGAACUCACAAAUCGGGAGAUCAUGACCUGAGCCAAACUCGGACACUUAACUGACUGAGCCAUCCAGGCGCCCCUUGGAUUUUUUUUUUUAAUUGCCAUCCUAACAGGUGCAAGGUGAUACUUCCUCGUGGUUUCGAUCUCCGUUUCCCUGGUGAUGAGUGGCAUCAUUGUUUCAUAUGCCUGGUGGUCAUUUCUGUGUCAUAUUUGGAGAAAUGUCUGUUCGAGUCCUUCACUCAUUUUUAAAUCCAGUUAUCUGGUUUUAUAGGUUUUUUUGUUUGUUUGUUUGUUUUGCUAUUGAAUUGAAGGAGUUCCUUAUAUAGUUUGGAUAUUAACCCCUUGUUGGUUAUAUGGUCUGCAAGUAUUUUCUCAAACUCCAUAGGCCACCUGUCACUGAUGAUGGUUCCCUUUGCUGAACAGACACUUUUUAGUUGAUGUGAUUCCAUUUGUCUAUUUUUGGCUUAUGUUGCCUGUGAUUUUGGUGUCGUAUUCAAGAAAUCAUUGCCAAGACAACCCCCCCCUAUUUUCUUCCAGGAGUCGGACAGUGUUGGCUCUUCUGUUUAUAUCUCUAAUCCAUUUUCAAAAAAUUUAAAAAAAAUGUUUAUUUACUUUUGGGAGGUGGGGGAGAAGGACAGAGAGAGAGAGAGGGAGACACAGAAACCAAAGCAGGCUCCAGGCUCCGAGCAGUAAGCACAGAGCCCAACGUGGGGCUCGAACUCACAAGCAGUGAGAUCAUGACCUGAGCCGAAGUUGGACGCUUAAGUGACUGAGCCUCCCAGGCGCCCUCUUUAAUCCGUUUUGAGUUGAUUUUUGUGUAGGGUGUAAGACAGGGAUCCAGUCUCAUUUUUUUGCAUGUGGAUGUCCAGUUUUCCCCACGCCAUUUGUGGGAGAGGCUGUCCUUUUCCCAUUCUGUAUUCUUGGCACCCUUGUCUAAGAUCAGUUGACCACAUAUGUGUGGGUUUAUUCCGGGCUCUCUAUUCUGGGCAUUUUUUUUUUUUUUCAGUUGGCCGCCAACAUUGACAGAUCAGGAAAUUUCAAGCUUCUCUUGGAAAGUCAAUAUCGUGUCUGCAUUCCCACGGUCAUGAUCCACCAGCAGCAGGUUCUGAGUGGCCACUGUCCUGGGGACAGCUUGCCCGUUUUCUGGCCCACACCCGGCGGUUUCCUUCAUUUUCGUUACCUGCCUGGCCCCAGGAAGCAGCAGAGUUCGUGACCCCAGUGGAGGAAAAAAGUGGACAAAAAUACAGAAAGACUCAGGCACAAAGAGACAAGAGAUAAAGUAAAGCAGAAAAAAAACAACAAUAAUCGUCAUACGCUGUCAUAGAGCACCUACAUAUAAACUUACAUAUAGGCUAUACAAGUAGUAUUUAUUUUGUUCCGGGCACUGCUCCAGGUUCUUUACAAACGUUAACUGGCUCAAUCUCCUCAAUAUCCUAUGAAAUCGGAUCUAUUAUCCCCCCCUCCCCCCACUGUACAGAUGAAAAAUGAGGCACGGAGAAGCUAAGAGCUGUUUACCUGUGGACCAAGUUGAUUACAUGGUAGAACUGAGGUCUGAACCCUCAUCUCCACAUCACCCACCCUGUGUGAGCCUAACCACUAGGCAACACUGCCCCCUUGUGGAUUUGGAGGCACGCAGGGAAAGAAUAAGAGGUUGAAGGGGUGAGGCACAAAGGAGGGAUUCCCAAGUUCUCCUGGGUGGGGGACUGUGGGUCUCAGCACCCAGUUCUGGUGCUAGAUGGGGACAGAGGUGCAAGCAAACUCCUUGCAGACAGGGGGAGGGAGCCACCUGAACCUUGCCCUUGGCGAGCUCAAGUCCUGAUCUUGAUUGAUCUUGGGUCUCUCAGGUUCUACAGGGAAAGGCAGGGAGUGUGGCUUGUGGGGUCAGACCCGCUCCGGUGAGACCCUGGGCAAGAGACUAAGUAUUUCUUUUUUUUUUUUUUUAACGUUUAUUUAUUUUUGAGACAGAGAGAGACAGAGCAUGAACAGGGGAGGGGCAGAGAGAGAGAGGGAGACACAGAAUCAGAAGCAGGCUCCAGGCUCUGAGCCAUCAGCCCAGAGCCCGACGCAGGGCUCGAACUCACGGACCGUGAGAUCGGGACCUGAGCUGAAGUCGACGCUUAACCGACUGAGCUACCCAGGCGCCCCAAGACUAAGUAUUUCUACCUCAGAGCUCAGCCACUGUUAUUUCCAAGUAUUGCUACCAAUGUAGCAAUGAUUUAAUAAGUUGGGGAAAUUACCAUCAUGUCUGUUUAUUCGUGAGUCGUGGUGACCCUGGUUGUCUUCCAGAACUAUCUCCUCUGUGCACCCAGAUACCCACCUAAGAUCAUGAUAAUAAUAACAAUAGUAAUAAUAUAAUAAAUAGCUCACAUGCCUCGAGCAAUUAUAGUCAGUUUUACUUGUGUCGUUGUAAUUAAUCUAGUGGGAUAAAAUCACGAACCUGUCUUUUUAACAAAACUACAGGGACACCUGGGUGGCUCAGUCAGUUAAGUGUUCAACUCUUGAUCUCCGUUUAGGUUAUGAUCUCAUGGUUUUGUGGGUUCGAUCCCCAUGUAGGGCUGUGCCCUGACAGCACAGAGCCUGCUUGGGAUUCUCUCUCCCCGUCUCUCUCUGCCCCUCCCACACUCUCACUAUCUCUCUCUCUCUCUC